GAUAGUGUUGUGGUCCUUCGGGAA
rnacentral:siRNA from 1 species